GUACUUGUAGCUCAGUGGAUAGAGCUUACGGCUACGGACCGUAGAGUCGGGAGUUCAAUUCUCUCCAAGUAUA
rnacentral:tRNA from 1 species